rnacentral:rRNA from 1 species
AUUGAACGCUGGCGGAAUGCUUUACACAUGCAAGUCGAGCGGCAGCACGGGGGCAACCCUGGUGGCGAGCGGCGAACGGGUGAGUAAUACAUCGGAACAUGCCCAGUCGUGGGGGAUAACACUUCGAAAGAAGUGCUAAUACCGCAUACGUCCUGAGGGAGAAAGCGGGGGAUCUUCGGACCUCGCGCGAUUGGAGUGGCCGAUGUCAGAUUAGCUAGUUGGUGGGGUAAAGGCCUACCAAGGCAACGAUCUGUAGCUGGUCUGAGAGGAUGAUCAGCCACACGUGGACUGAGACACGGCCCAGACUCCUACGGGAGGCAGCAGUGGGGAAUUUUGGACAAUGGUGGCAACCCUGAUCCAGCCAUUCCGCGUGAGUGAAGAAGGCCUUCGGGUUGUAAAGCUCUUUCGGCAGGAACGAAACGGCGUGCUCUAACAUAGCUUGCUAAUGACGGUACCUGAAGAAGAAGCACCGGCUAACUACGUGCCAGCAGCCGCCGCAGUAA